CGUAGGGGGCAAGCGUUGUCCGGAUUUAUUGGGCGUAAAGCGCGUGUAGGUGGCCAAGUAGGUCCGCUGUGAAAACUCGAGGCUCAACCUCGAGAUGUCGGUGGAAACCCCUUGGCUAGAGUCCGGAAGAGGAGAGUGGAAUUCCUGGUGUAGCGGUGAAAUGCGCAGAUAUCAGGAAGAACACCAAUGGCGAAGGCAGCUCUCUGGGACGGUACUGACACUGAGACGCGAAAGCGUGGGGAGCGAACAGGAUUAGAUACCCUGGUAGUCCACGCUGUAAACGAUGGGUGCUAGGUGUGGGCGGUGUCGACUCCGUCCGUGCCGAAGCUAACGCAUUAAGCACCCCGCCUGGGGAGUACGGCCGCAAGGCUA
rnacentral:rRNA from 1 species